UUGGAAGAACAAAGCUGAAUCAACAAGGGACAUUCCUAAAUUCCCGAUUGAAUACGCCUGCUAAUGAUAAGUGAUUUCUCGCCCACAUUACUGAUAACGAAAAACAGCAAUAAAAGGUCAAGAAAUUUUAGAAGAGUCAGUCAGUUCAGUCAGCCAAUUCCGAGAGUCAAAAAUAGAAAGAGUUGCCCAAGGGUCACCAAACAGACCAGACGUGUCUGCGAGUCGUUCCGAGGUCUCCACACAGACCGGACGUCUCCGGAAGUCUGCUCUAGCCAGACUCUGGACAGAAGAUGAGGAAAAUGUAACAGUGAAGAAGAUUCCGUGUCCCGUCCUGUUGGGGACAUCCGAC
rnacentral:lncRNA from 1 species